AAUGAACGUUGGCGGCGUGGAUUAGGCAUGCAAGUCGAGCGAGAACUCCCCGCAAGGGGAGGGACAGCGGCGUAAGGGAGAGUAAUACGUAGGUACCUACCCUUGGGACUGGGAUAGCCGCGGGAAACUGCGGGUAAUACCAGAUGACGUCUUCGGACCAAAGGUGUGAUUCCGCCCGAGGAGGGGCCUGCGUCCUAUUAGCUAGUUGGCGAGGUAACGGCUCACCAAGGCCAUGAUGGGUACGGGGUGUGAGAGCAUGCCCCCGCUCACUGGGACUGGGACACGGCCCAGACACCUACGGGUGGCUGCAGUCGAGGAUCUUGGGCAAUGGGCGCAAGCCUGACCGAGCGACGCCGCGUGUGGGAUGAAGGCCUUCGGGUUGUAAACCACUGUUGGAGGGGAGGAAGUGCCAGGGGGUAAUCUCCUAGGAUUGACCUAUACGCAGAGGAAGGAUGGGCUAAGUUCGUGCCAGCAGCCGCAGUAA
rnacentral:rRNA from 1 species